UACGGGGGGGGCAAGCGUUGUUCGGAAUUACUGGGCGUAAAGGGCUUGUAGGUGGCCAACUAAGUCAGACGUGAAAUCCCUCGGCUUAACCGGGGAACUGCGUCUGAUACUGGAUGGCUUGAGUGUGGGAGAGGGAUGCGGAAUUCCAGGUGUAGCGGUGAAAUGCGUAGAUAUCUGGAGGAACACCGGUGGCGAAGGCGGCAUCCUGGACCACGACUGACGCUGAGACACGAAAGCGUGGGUAGCAAACAGG
rnacentral:rRNA from 1 species